GCUUUGGAAUCCCCCCAUCGCCACGGAGGCUCUCGCUUGCCUGAGCGGGGGUCAGGACAGCGGGACAAGACGCUUCGGGAUGGAGGGACUCGCCCAGCUCCGGGAGAGGCGGGCCGGGCCAGGAUUGCAGGGCGAUGUGCUGUGGCUGAGUGAAUCUCUCUGUCCUAAAGUGACCUGCUGGAAAAGAAAGGCAUAGAAGCAAAUGGGCCCAGACUGGCCGGUUUCCCACAUCGAGAUUGGAUAAAGUCAUAAAGUUUAUUGGAUAUCCUUGAGUUCCAGUGUAAUGGAAAAGGGAGAAAAAAUCUAUUGACAUCAUGCAUAAUUUUACAAACCUCCACUCCUUUCUCUUGGUAAUGAAUAUAAGGGUGUUUGUACACCCACAAGAAUCAUGGCCUACAUAUAUUAAAAUAGAAAGAUAUAUCUUGUAUUAUUUUGUCCAGCUAGUUGUACACCCAGAACUAAUUCAAAAUUUCUUGCUGGCAUUCAUUAGUAUAGAGAAGUGUAUACCUGCAGAAGCUGUGCUUUAGGCAUUACAAAGUACGCUGAAAUGUACUAUUAUAAACUGCAUGUAUUGGUGAAUCUAUGACACAUGUGUCAAAAGGUUUUGGGUGACAUGCCAGCAUUC